AUACGGAGGAUCCGAGCGUUAUCCGGAUUUAUUGGGUUUAAAGGGUGCGCAGGCGGCCAUUUAAGUCAGCGGUUAAAUCGUGGGGCUCAACCCCAUUCUGCCGUUGAUACUGGGUGGCUUGAUUGCGGUCGAGGUUGGCGGAAUUCGUUGUGUAGCGGUGAAAUGCAUAGAUAUGACGAAGAACACCGAUUGCGUAGGCAGCUGACCAGACCGCAAAUGACGCUCAUGCACGAAAGUGCGGGGAUCGAACAGGAUUAGAUACCCUGGUAGUCCGCACAGUAAACGAUGAAUACUUGUUUUCGGCGAUAUAAUGUCGGAGGCAAAACGAAAGCGAUAAGUAUUCCACCUGGGGAGUACGCCGGCAACGGUGAAACUCAAAGGAAUUGACGGGG
rnacentral:rRNA from 1 species